UACGGGGGGGGCAAGCGUUGUUCGGAAUUACUGGGCGUAAAGGGCUCGUAGGCGGCCAACUAAGUCAGACGUGAAAUCCCUCAGCUUAACUGGGGAACUGCGUCUGAUACUGGAUGGCUUGAGUUCGGGAGAGGGAUGCGGAAUUCCAGGUGUAGCAGUGAAAUGCGUAGAUAUCUGGAGGAACACCGGUGGCGAAGGCGGCAUCCUGGACCGACACUGACGCUGAGGAGCGAAAGCCAGGGGAGCAAACGGG
rnacentral:rRNA from 1 species